rnacentral:rRNA from 1 species
ACACGUAGGGGGCGAGCGUUGUCCGGAUUUAUUGGGCGUAAAGAGCUCGUAGGCGGCUCGGUAAGUCGGGUGUGAAAACUUAGGGCUCAACCCUGAGACGCCACUCGAUACUGCCGUGGCUAGAGUCCGGUAGGGGAGCGUGGAAUUCCUGGUGUAGCGGUGAAAUGCGCAGAUAUCAGGAGGAACACCAGCGGCGAAGGCGGCGCUCUGGGCCGGUACUGACGCUGAGGAGCGAAAGCGUGGGGAGCAAACAGGAUUAGAUACCCUGGUAGUCCACGCCGUAAACGUUGGGCACUAGGUGUGGGACCUUAUCAACGGGUUCCGUGCCGUAGCUAACGCAUUAAGUGCCCCGCCUGGGGAGUACGGCCGCAAGGCUAAA